rnacentral:lncRNA from 1 species
ACUGAGGAAAGGUGAUUUUGGAAGUGGGAGAUGACCACCACUGACUCAUUGACCGCCUACCCCAGACUCAAAUGAGGGGAAGAACUCUGCCUGCGGACUAACUAGCAUGAAACACAAGAAACAUAACUAGGAAGAGUAGCUCCUCUGAAGUGUGAAAUCCUGCAGCUGCAGCUUUCCUGGGGGAAGGAAGAAAAUGUCCUGUGCUUGAAGCAGCUGCACAGCAUCUCUCAAGAUGAUGGCUGCAAAGAUGAAACCAAAAUCAGGCACCAAUUCCACAUCAGUCUGGAGCAGUGCUCUGGAACCUUGUCCUUGCCUUGUCCCCCACUCUUUCUGCUUCCUCCUGCCCUCAGUUUGUCAGAAGCUGGCUGUGCACUGCCCAUUUGGGGUGCUUACAGGGUACAUACGGGAAAUUAUUUUGAAAGUAGGAUUGCUUUGAUUUUAGCCAGAGACUGCAGAGUAGGUGAGAGUCUCCAAAAGAAAAAGAAAAAAAACCCUAAGCAAAAAAAAAAAAAAAAAAAAAAAAAGCAUUCUUACAAAUUUCCAGCGGUUUUUAUUGUAGGUGGAACUGGUAAUGGAUGUAGCCUGACACUUCUAGCUACAAGGCUCUGAUUUCAUUUGCCUUUAACUUUGUCAGACUCAAAACACUUGGCCUGAACUUCUCCAGGCUGGCUGCACAUCAACCAAAAC